rnacentral:rRNA from 1 species
AGCUCCAAUAGCGUAUAUUUAAGUUGUUGCAGUUAAAAAGCUCGUAGUUGGAUUUCGGAUGUGAACGACCGGUCCGCCGUUGCGGUGUGCACUGGACGUUUGUAUCUUGUUGUCGGGGACGCGCUCCUGGCCUUAACUGGUCGGGACGCGGAGUCGGCGCUGUUACUUUGAAAAAAUUAGAGUGUUCAAAGCAGGCAACCGCUCUGAAUACAUUAGCAUGGAAUAACGCUAUAGGACUCUGGUCCUAUUGUGUUGGUCUUCGGGACCGGAGUAAUGAUUAAGAGGGACAGUUGGGGGCAUUCGUAUUUCAUUGUCAGAGGUGAAAUUCUUGGAUUUAUGAAAGACGAACUUCUGCGAAAGCAUUUGCCAAGGAUGUUUUCAUUA